rnacentral:rRNA from 1 species
GAUGAACGCUGGCGGCGUGCCUAAUACAUGCAAGUCGAGCGAACGGACGAGAAGCUUGCUUCUCUGAUGUUAGCGGCGGACGGGUGAGUAACACGUGGAUAACCUACCUAUAAGACUGGGAUAACUUCGGGAAACCGGAGCUAAUACCGGAUGAUCUUUUGAACCGCAUGGUUCAAAAGUGAAAGACGGUCUUGCUGUCACUUAUAGAUGGAUCCGCGCUGCAUUAGCUAGUUGGUAAGGUAACGGCUUACCAAGGCAACGAUGCAUAGCCGACCUGAGAGGGUGAUCGGCAACAGUGGAACUGAGAGACGGUACAGACUCCUACGGGAGGCAGCAGUAGGGAAUCUUGCGCAAUGGGCGAAAGCCUGACGGAGCAACGCCGCGUGAGUGAUGAAGGUCUUCGGAUCGGAAAACUCUGUUAUGAGGGAAGAACAUAUGUGUAAGUAACUGUGCACAUCUUGACGGUACCUAAUCAGAAAGCCACGGCUAACUACGUG